rnacentral:lncRNA from 1 species
GAAGGACAAGAAAACCCUUAUCAACGACAUGGCGGGCACCUUCGAGGAGGGGUUCAAAGAGGCUCUGGCCCAGGCCGUCUGCGAGAACCCGGGAAUCGACGUUUCUAACUGUGAUUCCACUCAUCACAUCGUCGACGGGAAGGUCGUGCCCUUUGAGCUGGAUGACUGAACCGCCGCCCUCAACCGCCACCUUACUCCUUUGCACUUUAUACUUG